AACGCACAUUGCGCCUAUUAGUAUUCUAGUAGGCAUGCCUGUUCGAGCGUCAUUAAGUCCACAUUAAGCCUCGUUGCUUAGCGUUGGGAAUUUAUAGAGAUAUAAUUCCUUAAAAUUAGUGGCAGAAGUGAAUCACACUCUGAGCGUAGUAAUAUUUUAUCUCGCUUUUGCAGUUGGUUUGCUUGUCGCCGUUAAACACCCCCUUUUUUAAUGGUUGACCUCGGAUCAGGUAGGAAUACCCGCUGAACUUAA
rnacentral:misc_RNA from 1 species